AACCACAUCGGCUGCGCAAGACCUUCUUGCCAGACUUGCUCCUACACUUUCAGAAGGGCGGCUCUGGAUCUGUGUGCAACCCUUCCCAAAUGCCUGAGGGACUGGAACUGGGCACUGACAUUGGAUCAGGGCUUUACAAAAUCAUUCCACUGAAGUCAUGGAGAUGGCUUAUUGCUUAGGUACAAAGAUGUGUAGUUAUCGCCCUCUGCAAUCAAGCUGUGUCACAGAGAGUAACCGAUCACAAACCCUGCCUGAGAAGAAGUGACUUCAGGGAGUGCAAAAUGCACCAGUGGAGCUGUGCAGCUGGGGCACGGCUCUGGGUGCACCGUGGCACGGAGGGACACAGGGACGCCUGGUACCUGGGGCGCAGCGCUCAGAGCAGGUGGACACUCCAUGUUCUUACUCUGCCCUCUCUAAUGGGCUUUGCAGCUUCUGUAUCAUCUCUAUCUACCUACCGCUGCUGCAUCCAAACCCAGGUAGAUGAUUUACUGCUGGCACGAGUUUGGUUAUGCUGUACUUUGAUCGUUACAGCGACAGUCAUCCCAAGGACUCGUGAAGCUCCACCUAAAGUACAAAGCCUACACUGUUUUUCUCCUGCAAAUAUGUUCACAGUGCAUUUCCAAACAAAGAGAGCACUGUUUAUCUGUCGUGGGCUGUGCAUGCCCCCUUUCUAUUGGGAUAGGUCUGCACGCAGCUUUCCCCAGUACUUUCAGCUGGUGUGCUGUGUUUUGUGGCCCAGAUCACUCCUCCUGCUCUCAGAGGCACAUGAGAUGCGGGACACAUUCUCCUACAGAGGAGAGCUGCCUGGCAUUGAAAAUGAAGCACAAAGGCUGUUCGAUGUGGUACCCAAAAGGGAUGGGAUCAGGCAGCAACUACCACUAAUAUGCUGCAUGCUAAGGUACAACGCUGUACUGCAGCGAGCAAGCGAAGGAGCUGGUUACUUGGUCACGUGCCGGGAUGACUCAGCUGAGCAGAAGGAGAAGAAAGGUUGAUAUAUUUUCAGCUCUCCUUAGAGGCUUUGCCAGUACCUCUCACAGGAAUACAAUACGCUAUUUCUGCCGUCUGCUGAGCACUCCUACGCCUGCUGGCUGUCAGAGCAUUCCCGCAUGCUUAACAGGGACCCAGAGGUUCAUUUAGAAGUGGCUCUGCAGAAAGGUUAACGAGGGGACCGCAGAGGGGGAUUCCUGGGGGCUGCUCCUGGUCUGCUGCCACUUUGCAAACGGAUCUCUGGGAAAUUGCAGUCACGCGCCUUCCACGAAAGACGGUGGGGCACGAAGCAGCUUCAGUGAAUGACAGUACAAGUACAGGUGCCCUGCAAGCCCCUCCUGCCUCUGGCACUCGGACAUCACGCUUGGGAAGUCGUACCAGCUGUGUUGUGCCCAGCUGCAUAGGGAAGAAAACCUGAAACGCUUUGUCGACUGCUGGAACGAAUGUCACCUGUUCAUUUAUUGAUCUGAAGAGGAAACAUUGCUUCUUGGCAGUACCAGCUGAGCACCAGCAUGAAGUGGUGACCGAAGCAUGACUGCAUCAUCACCCAGUCAACAGCCCCUGGAAGGUUAAUGUCUGUGGCAAGAAAAACAAUGUCUUCUCCCUGAAGGGUGGUAAUGCUUUUGUGGGCGUGCAUGAGGGUGCUACAGUGGAACAAGGCGUCCUCCUGCCAAAGGCAGAAGCCCCAUCACGGCAAACACGCCCGUCUGCCAUGCCUGCUGCCCUGCCGCACAAUGCAGCGACCCAGGACUGGGACCAUCUGGAGACUCAGAAACAUGGCAGUAUCUCCAAUUAGAGAUGGCUGUGUUCAGGGAUCUCGGAAGACUCUCUUCAUGCGAGGUAUCUGUCCUAGCUUCCACGACGGAGAGCAUUACCACUCCUAGGAAAGCUGAAGCCCUGUAAAGCACCGACAUGCAAUAACUCUAAUUCUUUCUUAAAGCAUUUUAAGAAGAACAACCCUCAAAGCAACUAGAGCCACGGGCAACACCAAAUCCCCAUUUUCUGUUGGCUCUGCACUGUUGUGUCUCAGUCCUACUUAUUUUGAGUGCCAUUCAUAGUUGUCUCUGGAAGUGCAGGGUCCUCCUCUGGACAGACCACUGUCUCUAUUUGUUCUUUCACAUUUUCUGGAACUCUGACUUCCCCCUUGCCUCCCGAAAGCUUACAUCAGGUUCCCUUAACGUGGUGAAAACCACAGGUGAGUCAGACCAGGGACAGGCCCUGCUGCAUGGUCAGCUGCCAUGUGCCGGCUGCAGAGCGGGGCAGUUCUUGCCGAAACCCCUGGUGCUGCUGCAGCACCCAAUGGACGCCCACCGCCGAGGGGCACGGUGGGCCACCUCCCCGCUGGCUGGCUGGCUGCGACCUACAUAACACCGACUGAGAAUUACAGCCCUGAUGGCGUGUUGCUGUUUCUGGGCCCAAG